GGUUUGAUUAUGGCUCAGAUUGAACGCUGACGGGAUGCUUUACACGGCUGCAAGUCGAACGGCAGCACGGACUUCAGUCUGGUGGCGAGUGGCGAACGGGUGAGUAAUGUAUCGGAACGAUGCCUAGUAGCGGGGGAUAACUGCAUUUGAAAAGCGUAGCUAAUACCACAUACGCCCUUCGGGGAAAGCAGGGGGACCUUCGGGCCUCGCACUAUUAGAGCGGCCGAUAUCGGAUUAGCUAGUUGGUGGGGUAACGGCUCACCAAGGCGACGAUCCGUAGCUGGUUUGAGAGGACGACCAGCCACACUGGGACUGAGACACGGCCCAGACUCCUACGGGAGGCAGCAGUGGGGAAUUUUGGACAAUGGGGGAAACCUGAUCCAGCCAUCCAUAGUGUGCGAUGAAGGCCUUCGGGUUGUAAAAGCACUUUUUGGCAGGAAAGAAACAUGCACAGGAUAAUACCCCGUGCAACUGACAGCCUGCAGAAUAAGCACCGGCCUUUACGUGCCAGCAGCCGCGGUAAUACGUAGGGUGCAAGCGUUAAUCAGAAUUACUGGGCGUAAAGCGUGCCGACCGGUUGGAAAGAAAGAUGCUGAAAUCCCAGAGCUUAACUUUGGAACUGCAUUUUUAACUACCGAGCUAGAGUGUGUCAGAGGUGGAAUUCCCGCGUGUAGCAGUGAAAUGCGUAGAUAUGCGGAGGAACACCGAUGGCGAAGGCAGCCUCCUGGGAUAACACUGACGCUCAUGCACAUGGUAAGGAGCAAACGGGAUUAGAUACCCUGGUAGUCCGCCUAAACGAUGUCAACUAGCUGUUGGGGCCUUCGGGCAUGGUAGCGCAGCUAACGUGAAGUUGGCCGCCUGGGGAUACAGUCGCAAAGAUUAAAGCUCAAAGGAAUUGACGGGGACCCGCACAAGCGGUGGAUGAUGUGGAUUAAUUCGAUGCAACGCGAAAAACCUACCCUUAUUGUCUGCGUCCAGAAGAGAUUUAGGAGUGCUCGCAAGAGAACCAGGUGCAAUUGCUGCAUGGCUGUCGUCAGCUCGUGUCGUGAAGUGUUUGGGUUAAGUCAACGAGCGCAGCGUAUCAUUAGUUGCUACGAAGGGCACUCUAAUGAGACUUGCGGUGACAAACCGGAGGAAGGUGGGGAUGACGUCAAGUCCUCAUGGCCCUUAUGGGUAGGGCUUCACACGUCAUACAAUGGUCCGGGACAGAGGGUCGCCAACCCGCGAAAGGGGAGCCAAUCCCAGAAACCCGAUCGUAGUCCGGAUCGCAGUCUGCAACUCGACUGCGUGAUCGGAAUCGCUAGUAAUCGCGGAUCAGCAUGUCGCGGUGAAUACGUUCCCGGGUCUUGUACACACACCGCCCGUCACACCAUGGGAGUGGGUUUUACAAGUAGUUAGCCUAACCGUAAGGAGGCGAUUACCACGGUAAGUUCAUGACUGGGGUGAAGUCGUAACAAGGUG
rnacentral:rRNA from 1 species